UUCCCAACAUCAUUUUUGUGUGUGUGGCCAUCCUUUCCAUUCAUAUUGUUGUGCUGUUAGUGAUCUAAUCAGCACCCUUGGGUUCAAUAAGCAUAUCUAAGAAGAUGAUUCCCAGAUAUGCAUAUCUAUCCCUAACUUCUCUCCUAAACUCUAGUCUUCCAUCACUUAACUUCCUCAUGGACAUCUCAAAAAUGGAUGCCCAUAAGGAUCUCAAACUCAACAUAUGUAAAAGAGAACUCAUUAUCUUAGACCCAAACAAGGAAGCUAGUCUACCUGUGCUCCAAUGCAUUGUUCAGAAGCUAAGUGCCAUCAUUCCCCCGCCCCCUCCCCCUCAGGUCAGACACACUGGGGCACUUCCUGCCCACGUUGGGCAAGGUUUGGACUCACCAGGGGAUCGCCAAGCUGUACCACAAAGUGAGCCAAAACGGCUACAAGUUCCUCUACUGCUCGGCCAGGGCCAUCGGGAUGGCGGACAUGACGCGCGGCUACCUGCACUGGGUCAACCAACGGGGGACGGUGCUGCCCCAGGGGCCGCUGCUGCUCAGCCCCAGCAGCCUCUUCUCCGCCCUGCACAGGUAGGACGAGGAGGCCCCGGCCCAAGGUCUGCGCUCGGACCCUGCACCCCCAGCCACCAACGGCCCCCUCUGGUUGUCCCAGAGGAGGCUCAGGCUUCCCCGGCUCUGGCCAGGCCCUUCCAAAGGCCCCCGAGAAGCCGUGCGAGCCCGCCGGGAAAGAGGGAGCCGGCCAAGGCCCUCACAGAGCCUCAGAACUGGAGAGGCCUGAAGGGAAAGCAGCCGCGGGGCCCAUGAGAUGCGCUCCCCAAAAUGGCCCUGGCUGGCUCCCUGCUUCUUCUUGAGGUUCUCAGCUCCGCGAGGGCCCUCUGUGUGCCCAGAGCUGUCUGGGCCAGGCUGGACCUGAGGGCCCCCUCUCUGCUCCCCAGCUCCCCCUCUGCUCCUCCAGCUCCUCCUGGCUCCCCCCAGCUCCUCCUGGCUCCCCCGGCUCCUCUUGGCUCCCCUCGGCUCCUCCUGGCUCCCCCUGGCUCCCCCCUUCCCCCCUCUGCUCCCCCAGCUCUUCCUGGCUCCCCCCAGCUCCUCCUGGUUCCCCCCGGCUGCUCCUGGCUCCCCCCGGCUCCUCCUGGCUCCCCCUGGCUCCCCCCGGCUCCUCCUGGCUCCCCCUGGCUCCCCCUGGCUCCUCCUGGCUCCCCCUGGCCCCCCUCUGCUCCCCCAGCUCCUCCUGGUUCCCCCCGGCUGCUCCUGGCUCCCCCCUUCCCCCCUCUGCUCCCCCAGCUCUUCCUAGCUCCCCCCAGCUCCUCCUGGCUCCCCCCGACCCCCCUCUGCUCCCCCAGCUCCUCCUAGUUCCCCCCGGCUGCUCCUGACUCCCCCCAGCUCCUCCUGGCUCCCCCUGGCUCCCCCCAGCUCCUCCUGGCUCCCCCCGGCCCCCCUCUGCUCCCCCAGCUCCUCCUGGCUCCCCCUGGCUCCUCCUGGCUCCCCCUGGCCCCCCUCUGCUCCCCCAGCUCUUCCUGGCUCCCCCCAGCUCCUCCUGGCUCUCCCUCUGUUCCUAGUGACCGGCUAGCCGGGGUCUCAGUUCACAACUGAUGGUCCGACCA
rnacentral:lncRNA from 1 species